CCGGAAAUUCCUAGCCAAAGCUUAGGGCGAGAGCAGUUGGAGAGGCCACUCCGAUUGAGAAAGAAAGCUAGCUACACUGAACAAAGGAGGUUGUAUCAAAAAACUCUUUGUUGGACACGAGAAUGAGUUUCAUCAUCAUCAUCACUAUCAAAAAUCAUGGUUCCAAAAACUGAAUACAGGAGACUCCAAUCCGGAAGCUUUGACGAAACUAGCUAGAUAUCAUGCAUGUUCUAUUCUCUACCUGCCUACUUCUGUUUCUUUUUGAUGCCGAAGUUUGGCGUUCAUAGCUCUCGAAUAAAAUGCUUGAAGGAAAAGAUCUAUCUCCGCGACGAGAUUCUCAUGGGUGUUGGAACGGGAGG
rnacentral:sRNA from 2 species